GAUGAAGAACGUAGUGAAAUGCGAUAAGUAAUGUGAAUUGCAGAAUUCAGUGAAUCAUCGAAUCUUUGAACGCACAUUGCGCCCUGUGGUAUUCCGCAGGGCAUGCCUGUUCGAGCGUCAUUUCAACCCUCAAGCUCUGCUUGGUGUUGGGCCCUGCCCGCUGCGGCCGGCCCUAAAGACAGUGGCGGUGCCGCCUGGCCCUGAGCGUAGUACAUCUCUCGCUCCAGUGCCCGGUGGUAGCCUGCCAGAACCCCAACUCUCGUGGUUGACCUCGGAUCAGGUAGGGAUACCCGCUGAACUUAAGCAUAUCAAUAAGCGGAGGA
rnacentral:misc_RNA from 1 species